AUUGAACGCUGGCGGCAGGCCUAACACAUGCAAGUCGAGCGGCAGCGGGAAAGUAGCUUGCUACUUUUGCCGGCGAGCGGCGGACGGGUGAGUAAUGCCUGGGAAAUUGCCCAGUCGAGGGGGAUAACAGUUGGAAACGACUGCUAAUACCGCAUACGCCCUACGGGGGAAAGCAGGGGACCUUCGGGCCUUGCGCGAUUGGAUAUGCCCAGGUGGGAUUAGCUAGUUGGUGAGGUAAUGGCUCACCAAGGCGACGAUCCCUAGCUGGUCUGAGAGGAUGAGCAGCCACACUGGAACGGAGACACGGUCCAGACUCCUACGGGAGGCAGCAGUGGGGGAAUAUUGCACAAUGGGGGAAACCCUGAUGCAGCCAUGCCGCGUGUGUGAAGAAGGCCUUCGGGUUGUAAAGCACUUUCAGCGAGGAGGAAAGGUUGAUGCCUAAUACGUAUCAACUGUGACGUUACUCGCAGAAGAAGCACCGGCUAACUCCGUGCCAGCCGCCGCGGUAAGAC
rnacentral:rRNA from 1 species